UACGUAGGUGGCGAGCGUUGUCCGGAUUUACUGGGCGUAAAGGGAGCGUAGGCGGACUUUUAAGUGAGAUGUGAAAUACCCGGGCUCAACGUGGGUGCUGCAUUUCAAACUGGAAGUCUAGAGUGCAGGAGAGGAGAAUGGAAUUCCUAGUGUAGCGGUGAAAUGCGUAGAGAUUAGGAAGAACACCAGUGGCGAAGGCGAUUCUCUGGACUGUAACUGACGCUGAGGCUCGAAAGCGUGGGGAGCAAACAGGAUUAGAUACCCU
rnacentral:rRNA from 1 species